rnacentral:rRNA from 1 species
UACGAAGGGGGCUAGCGUUGCUCGGAAUCACUGGGCGUAAAGCGCACGUAGGCGGAUCUUUAAGUCAGGGGUGAAAUCCCAAGGCUCAACCUUGGAACUGCCUUUGAUACUGGGGAUCUCGAGUCCGGAAGAGGUGAGUGGAACUGCGAGUGUAGAGGUGAAAUUCGUAGAUAUUCGCAAGAACACCAGUGGCGAAGGCGGCUCACUGGCCCGAUACUGACGCUGAGGCACGAAAGCGUGGGGAGCAAACAGGG